rnacentral:rRNA from 1 species
CACGGCCCAGACUCCUACGGGAGGCAGCAGUGGGGAAUAUUGCACAAUGGGCGAAAGCCUGAUGCAGCGACGCCGCGUGAGGGAUGACGGCCUUCGGGUUGUAAACCUCUUUCAGCAGGGAAGAAGCGCAAGUGACGGUACCUGCAGAAGAAGCACCGGCUAACUACGUGCCAGCAGCCGCGGUAAUACGUAGGGUGCGAGCGUUGUCCGGAAUUAUUGGGCGUAAAGAGCUCGUAGGCGGCUUGUCACGUCGGUUGUGAAAGCCCGGGGCUUAACCCCGGGUCUGCAGUCGAUACGGGCAGGCUAGAGUGUGGUAGGGGAGAUCGGAAUUCCUGGUGUAGCGGUGAAAUGCGCAGAUAUCAGGAGGAACACCGGUGGCGAAGGCGGAUCUCUGGGCCAUUACUGACGCUGAGGAGCGAAAGCGUGGGGAGCGAACAGGAUUAGAUACCCUGGUAGUCCACGCCGUAAACGUUGGGAACUAGGUGUUGGCGACAUUCCACGUCGUCGGUGCCGCAGCUAACGCAUUAAGUUCCCCGCCUGGGGAGUACGGCCGCAAGGCUAAAACUCAAAGGAAUUGACGGGGGCCCGCACAA